rnacentral:rRNA from 1 species
UAACAAGGAUCCCUCAGUAACGGCGAGUGAAGAGGGAAGAGCUCAGUUUUGAAAUCUGGCAGUGCUUUUACUGUCCGAGUUGUAAAUUGAAGAGAAUGUCAUCCACACUGGACCAUGUCUAAAUUGUAAUGAUCCACAGUCCUUUGAUGGAGUAUCAGAGAGGGUAAUAAUCCCGUCCUUAAUGUGGACUUACCAGUGUUUUAUGUGAUGCACUCUCUCAGAGUCGAGUAGUUUGGGAAUGCUGCUCUAAUGGGAGGUAAACUCCUUCUAAAGCUAAAUAUUGGCGAGAGACCGAUAGUGAACAAGUACCGUGAGGGAAAGAUGAAAAGAACUCUGAAAAGAGAGUCAAAGAGAACGUGAAAUUGCUGAAAGGGAAGCAUUUGGAGUCAGAUGUGUCUUCAUUGUCAUACCACCUCAGUGGCAGAGGCUGAGUGUUGGUUACUUGAGGACGGGCCAGCACUCACAUAGGCGAUUGGAGAAGGGGUCAUGGAA